UACGUAGGGGGCUAGCGUUGUCCGGAAUCAUUGGGCGUAAAGAGCGUGUAGGCGGCCCGGUAAGUCCGCUGUGAAAGUCGGGGGCUCAACCCUCGAAUGCCGGUGGAUACUGUCGGGCUAGAGUGCGGAAGAGGCGAGUGGAAUUCCUGGUGUAGCGGUGAAAUGCGUAGAUAUCAGGAGGAACACCUGUGGUGUAGACAGCUUACUGGACCACUUCUGACGCUGAGACACGAAAGCGUGGGUAGCAAACAGG
rnacentral:rRNA from 1 species